CAAUAGCGUAUAUUAAAGUUGUUGCAGUUAAAAAGCUCGUAGUUGGAUUUGUGGCGUGCGCCGAGGCGUCCAAUUUUUUGGUAUUGCCUUGGCCGUGCCAUCCUUGGGUGGAAUCUGUGUGGCAUUAGGUUGUCGUGCAGGGGAUGCCCAUCGUUUACUGUGAAAAAAUUAGAGUGUUCAAAGCAGGCUUAUGCCGUUGAAUAUAUUAGCAUGGAAUAAUAAGAUAGGUCUUUGGUCCUAUUUUGUUGGUUUGCGGACCGGAGAAAUGAUUAACAGGGACAGUUGGGGGUAUUCGUAUUCCAUUGUCAGAGGUGAAAUUCUUGGAUUUCUGGAAGACGAACUACUGCGAAAGCAUUUACCAAGGAUGUUUUCAUUAA
rnacentral:rRNA from 1 species